CGGACGGUCUGUCUCCAGCAUUGCCUUGUGUGACGGGAGAAAUGAGCUCGGCUGGUUCUGAGUUGUCCCCUCCCACCGUGCUGAGUGGUGAAGUUGCGGGUUUAACAACAGGCAGAACACACGGAGCCAGCAGAAUGGUGACCUGUCCAGGUUGUACUCUGCCAUUCGCACAUUGACCCCUAAAAAAAAAGGCACGAGUCCUCACUACCCAUGAACCUGUGACAAUAAAGCAGAUUUAAAACAUGGACAGAUGGAUGGAAGGAUGGAUGGAGUCUGAUGGCAUCUUUGGUGCAGAUGCUGCUCCCCCUGCAGAAAACAGCCAGGCACAUGGCAGAAUCAUCAGGAAAAUGGUGAGCAGGCAUCCGCAAAGAUACACUUAAACAACACAAUAUAACUCCAAGUAAAUCAAACUUCUGUGAAAUCAAACUGUCCACUUAUGAAGCAACACAGAUUGACAAUCAAUUUCGCAUGGUGUUGUGCAAAUGG